AUUGAACGCUGGCGGCAUGCCUUACACAUGCCAGUCGAACGGUAACGGGCCUUCGGGUGCCGACGAGUGGCGCACGGGUGAGUAAUACAUCGGAACGUGCCCGAUCGUGGGGGAUAACGAGGCGAAAGCUUUGCUAAUACCGCAUACGAUCUACGGAUGAAAGCAGGGGACCGCAAGGCCUUGCGCGGACGGAGCGGCCGAUGGCAGAUUAGGUAGUUGGUGGGAUAAAAGCUUACCAAGCCGACGAUCUGUAGCUGGUCUGAGAGGAUGAUCAGCCACACUGGGACUGAGACACGGCCCAGACUCCUACGGGAGGCAGCAGUGGGGAAUUUUGGACAAUGGGCGCAAGCCUGAUCCAGCCAUGCCGUGUGCAGGAUGAAGGCCUUCGGGUUGUAAACUGCUUUUGUACGGAACGAAAAGCCUUCUUUUAAUACAGGAGGGUCAUGACGGUACCGUAAGAAUAAGCACCGGCUAACUACGUG
rnacentral:rRNA from 1 species